rnacentral:scRNA from 1 species
CAGGAUGGCGUCGAAAAAUACUAUCGCCGGUC